rnacentral:rRNA from 1 species
CUCAAAUUUGAAAGCUGGCCUUCGGGUCCGCAUUGUAAUUUGUAGAGGAUGCUUUGGGGCAGCCGCCUGUCUAAGUUCCUUGGAACAGGACGUCAUAGAGGGUGAGAAUCCCGUAUGUGACAGGACAUGGCACCCUAUGUAAAGCUCCUUCGACGAGUCGAGUUGUUUGGGAAUGCAGCUCUAAAUGGGAGGUAAAUUUCUUCUAAAGCUAAAUACCGGCGAGAGACCGAUAGCGCACAAGUAGAGUGAUCGAAAGAUGAAAAGCACUUUGGAAAGAGAGUUAAAAAGCACGUGAAAUUGUUGAAAGGGAAGCGCUUGCAAUCAGACUUGUUUUGACUGUUCGGCCGGUCUUCUGACCGGUUUACUCAGUCUGGACAGGCCAGCAUCAGUUUUGGCGGCCGGAUAAAGGCCCAGGGAAUGUGGCUCUCACUUCGGUGGGAGUGUUAUAGCCCUGGGUGUAAUACGGCCAGCCGGGACUGAGGUCCGCGCUUCGGCUAGGAUGCUGGCGUAAUGGUUGUAAGCGACCCGUCUUGAAACAACGGACCA